rnacentral:lncRNA from 1 species
ACAGAUCUUCUGGUGUCUGGGCAGGAUGCCCAAUCACUAUCACAGUAAACAGAUAAGCAGAGGUCAGGAGUGUUGCUGAGAAAGAUGCCAAGGUCAGAGGUGCCUUUGAGAUAUCUUAGGGUAUGCAAAGCAGCAAGCAUUUGGGAGGAUGUAGGCUUCUGGAGGAACUGGCUUAAAUGCUGGACAACAAAGGCUAAGUCAAUUUUGGUGUGGGUGAGGAAAUUGAGUUUCCCCACUAGGCAUCUAUAGGUUUCAGGAGAGGGAAGAGGAUCCCCUAAAUCCAGUUUGAGUUUAAUAGAGAGGUCAAGAGGGCAAGUAACAGGAGAUACAUCUUCACAGUGAUAGGCCAUGAGGAGGUCAGUGAUGAAUUUUUUCUGGUGGAGAAGAAGCCCAGUAGGAAGAUAAGAGACCUCAAUACCCAAAAAAUAGUUGAGCACCCCAAGGGCAAGCAACAGGAGAUACAUCCUCAGAGUGAUAGGCCAUGAGGAGGUCAGUGAUGAAUUUUUUCUGGUGGAGAAGAAGCCUAGUAGGAAGAUAAGAGACCUCAAUACCCAAAAAAUAGUUGAGCACCCCUAAGUCCUUGAUUUUAAACUCAUGAUCCAGAAAGGUUUUCAAAGUAGUGAUCUCCUCCAAAUUAUUACCAGUAAGAAUGAUGUCAUCAACAUAUACGGCCAACAAGACAACAAAAGAGCCAGAUUUCUUAAGGAAAAGAGAAUAAUCAUUGAGAGAAGAAGAAAACCCUUAGAACACAAGGCCUGGGACAGCUUGGAAUACCAUUGCCUGGAAGCUUGCCUUAAACCAUACAAAGAUUUCUGAAGAAGACAGACCAAAGGAGAACAAGAAGAAGCACAGGUGACCUCCAGACCAGGAGGCAAUUUCAUAUAGACUUCCUCAGCUAAGUCACCAUGUAAGAAGGCAUUAUUGACAUCAAGUUGAAA